UACGUAGGUGGCAAGCGUUAUCCGGAUUUAUUGGGCGUAAAGGGAACGCAGGCGGUCUUUUAAGUCUGAUGUGAAAGCCUUCGGCUUAACCGGAGUAGUGCAUUGGAAACUGGGAGACUUGAGUGCAGAAGAGGAGAGUGGAACUCCAUGUGUAGCGGUGAAAUGCGUAGAUAUAUGGAAGAACACCAGUGGCGAAAGCGGCUCUCUGGUCUGUAACUGACGCUGAGGUUCGAAAGCGUGGGUAGCAAACAGU
rnacentral:rRNA from 1 species